UACGUAGGUGGCAAGCGUUGUCCGGAGUUAUUGGGCGUAAAGCGCGCGCAGGCGGUGCGGUAAGUCUCUGGUGAAAGCGCUCGGCUUAACUGGGCGAGGGCCGGGGAGACUGCCACGCUGGAGGGGAGCAGAGGCGAGUGGAAUUCCGGGUGUAGUGGUGAAAUGCGUAGAGAUCGGGGAGGAACACCGGUGGCGAAGGCGGUUCUCUGGGCCUUACCUGGACGCUGAGGAGCGAAAGCGUGGGGAGCGAACAGG
rnacentral:rRNA from 1 species